UACAGAGGUCUCAAGCGUUGUUCGGAUUCAUUGGGCGUAAAGGGUGCGUAGGCGGCGCGGUAAGUCGGGUGUGAAAUCUUGGAGCUUAACUCCGAAACUGCAUUCGAUACUGCCGUGCUUGAGGACUGGAGAGGAGACUGGAAUUUACGGUGUAGCGGUGAAAUGCGUAGAUAUCAGGAGGAACACCGGUGGCGAAGGCGGUGGGCUGGGCCGGAACUGACGCUGAGGAGCGAAAGCGUGGGGAGCGAACAGG
rnacentral:rRNA from 1 species